rnacentral:misc_RNA from 1 species
AUUACGUCAUAAUAUCCGAACAGAUACUUAUUUAAUUAAGCACGUUUAGAUUUAUAGUUACUUGUAACCUUGGUUUCAUUCGCGGCAAAUAAGAACCCUGAAAUCAGUCCGCACCCUAAGUAAAUCAAUGGUAAUGGCAUGGGGUACUCCUUAUUUAAUCUUUGUUUAAUUCUUUAUAGAUGGCGUAGCCGAUGAUGAACCCAAUACCAAAUAUGGGAUUGGAAAAAGCUGCAACAGGCAUAAUAUUUCCUUCUUUGUUUCAGAUAUAAAAAAGCGCCAUAUCAUUGCUGAUAUGGCGCUGUGUUAUGUGCUG